AUGCACAUGCAUGAGCACACACUCACAUAUGCACACACACUCACGCGUGCACACAUGCACUCAUGCAUCCACACACACAGUCAUACAUCCACAUGCACUUGCAUAUGCACACACAUGCACUCAUGCAUGCACACACGCACUCAUAAAUACACUCACACAUGCACACACUCACACAUGCACAUGCGUACUCAUACAUAUGCGCAGACGCACCCCCACAUGCACUCAUACAUCCACACACUCACUUGCAUAUGCACACAUGUGCAUUCAUACAUCUGCACACGCACACUCACAAGUGUGCACACACACUCACAUAUGCACUCAUACAUCCACACACUCAUUUGCAUAUGCACAUGCACUCACACGUGCACUCACAUAUGCACACAUGCAUUUACACACACACACAUGCACUCACGCAUGCACAUGGACGCACACACACACAUCAUCCAAAACAGUUCCCUGGAGCAUCUGUGUCUUCCCCACUCCCUGCAGGUCUGGCUGCGGACACGUCCUCCUGCCGCCGCUGGAUGGCAGUGUAGACCCGCGGAUCCGAGGCCUGGCCCGCAGCUGGGGCUGUGCUCCUCCACCUGGGCCCCUGCUUCCUGGAGAGCUCCGAACAAAACAAGUGCACCCGCUCUUUGGCCACGGGUCAGUGCGGCACCUCCGGACCCCAGGCUCUGGCCUCAACCAGGCCGUCCCCCCUCCUCUGCGGAUCAGACGCUGCAAGCUGCAAUCAGGCUCCUUCUGAGAAGUUGGGGAAUAAAUUCGGGACCGUGGUCUGACCUCACGCCCGGUUGUUGGCAUCCUAUCAGGUUCGCUCUGACAGGGUCCUCGUCCUGGGGGGGCAAGGGGCACCAGGGGGCAGCCACAAGGCCGUGUGUCCCCUCGGAGGUCAGCCGAGUGCAGGACACGGCAGGAGGGGCUGGACCCGCUGAGCUCCCUCCAAUUUCUCCAGAGUCGGAGGUGACACAAGGGCACAGACGUGUCACCCUCCAUCCCCCUCACCUCCAAGUGAGAGAGAGGAAGCCUCGAGGGGGGUCCGGGGCUCCCCCAGGAUGGCGCACAAGCCAGGAGAGGAGCCCCGGGGGAGGCGGGUGCACGCCUCCGACCCGCCCUCUGACGGAGAGCAGGGCCUCUGUGCGGGGUGCAGGAAAGGCACCGCGGGGCAGAGGCUUCGGGGACCCCGUCCGUGCCCUGCCCCAGCACAGCUGCGAGCCCCCACCCACUGGAUGGGCCCCGGGGAGGCGUCCCUUCGGAGAGAGGCGGGCACUGGGCGGUAGGUGGGGAGCACCAGGCUGGGGGCAUGCUGGACGGUGA
rnacentral:lncRNA from 1 species